rnacentral:rRNA from 1 species
CGGGACGGGUGAGUAAUGUCUGGGAAACUGCCCGAUGGAGGGGGAUAACUACUGGAAGCGGUAGCUAAUACCGCAUAACGUCGCAAGACCAAAGAGGGGACCUUCGGGCCUCUUGCCAUCGGAUGUGCCCAGAUGGGAUUAGCUAGUAGGUGGGGUAACGGCUCACCUAGGCGACGAUCCCUAGCUGGUCUGAGAGGAUGACCAGCCACACUGGAACUGAGACACGGUCCAG